rnacentral:rRNA from 1 species
CCAGCAGCCGCGGUAAUACGUAGGGGGCGAGCGUUGUCCGGAAUUAUUGGGCGUAAAGGGUUCGCAGGCGGUCUGAUAAGUCAGAUGUGAAAGGCGUAGGCUCAACCUACGUAAGCAUUUGAAACUGUCAGACUUGAGUUAAGGAGAGGAAAGUGGAAUUCCUAGUGUAGCGGUGAAAUGCGUAGAUAUUAGGAGGAAUACCAGUGGCGAAGGCGACUUUCUGGACUGUAACUGACACUGAGGCAUGAAAGCGUGGGUAGCAAACAGGAUUAGAUACCCUGGUAGUCCACGCCGUAAACGAUGGGUACUAGGUGUAGGAGGUAUCGACCCCUUCUGUGCCGUCGUUAACACAAUAAGUACCCCGCCUGGGGAGUACGGUCGCAAGACUAAAACUCAAAGGAAUUGACGGGGGCCCGCACAAGCAGCGGAGCAUGUGGUUUAAUUCGAAGCAACGCGAAGAACCUUACCUAGACUUGACAUCUCCUGAAUUACCCUUAACCGGGGAAGCCCUUCGGGGCAGGAAGACAGGUGGUGCAUGGUUGUCGUCAGCUCGUGUCGUGAGAUGUUGGGUUAAGUCCCGCAACGAGCGCAACCCUUAUUUUUAGUUGCUACCAUUUGGUUGAGCACUCUAAAGAGACUGCCCGGGUUAACCGGGAGGAAAGGUGGGGAUGACGUCAAAUCAUCAUGCCCCUUAUGUCUAGGGCUACACACGUGCUACAAUGGUGAGAACAAAGAGACGCGAGACCGCGAGGUGGAGCAAAUCUCAUAAAACUCAUCCCAGUUCGGAUUGCAGGCUGA